AUAUUGCACAAUGGGCGAAACUGAUGCAGCGACGCCGCGUGAGGGAUGACGGCCUUCGGGUUGUAAACCUCUUUCAGCAGGGACGAAGCGAGAGUGACGGUACCUGCAGAAGAAGCACCGGCCAACUACGUGCCAGCAGCCGCGGUAAUACGUAGGGUGCGAGCGUUGUCCGGAAUUACUGGGCGUAAAGAGCUCGUAGGCGGUUUGUCGCGUCGUCCGUGAAAACUUGGGGCUCAACCCCAAGCUUGCGGGCGAUACGGGCAGACUUGAGUACUGCAGGGGAGACUGGAAUUCCUGGUGUAGCGGUGAAAUGCGCAGAUAUCAGGAGGAACACCGGUGGCGAAGGCGGGUCUCUGGGCAGUAACUGACGCUGAGGAGCGAAAGCUGGGGUAGCGAACAGGAUUAGAUACCCUGGUAGUCCACGCCGUAAACGGUGGGCGCUAGGUGUGGGUUUCCUUCCACGGGAUCCGUGCCGUAGCUAACGCAUUAAGCGCCCCGCUGGGAGUACGGCGCCASUAAAACUCAAGGGAUUGUCG
rnacentral:rRNA from 2 species